AUGAUGAAUAUGCCAAGCUCAUCAGGAGAAUGAAUCCACCCAGAGUUGUAAUAGACAACAACGCCUGCGAUGAUGCCACCGUUAUUCAGGUUGAUAGUGUGAACAAACAUGGGACUCUGUUGGAAGUAGUGCAAGUGCUCACUGAUACGGAUCUUGUGAUCAAGAAAGCUUACAUCUCUUCCGAUGGAGGU